ensembl:lncRNA
GACAAAGGCUGCAAGAGACCGAGCCCUUUCCCAACUGAAAUCCUCGCUGCUGAGAAGAAAGCAAACAACCUCCACCCCCUUGACAAAUGAAGACGAUACAGACAUAGACACCAAUGUGGACUUAUUUGACCCACCUCAGGCUUCGGGAUCAACUGACCUCUCCCAAGGGGAAAGUGAAGAGGAGAGUGUCCUGAUGGAUCAGCCCAGAUCCAGUGUUGGCAUGCAACAGGAAGUGAUGGAUGCUCUGAAAGGAAACAUUUCAUCCAAAAUUGUUGCAAACUACUUGACUGUUAGCAGUUUUGUCUCUGUAGUCUCGAC